AAUAAGAUCACAAUUUGUUUUUCUCGCAUCCAUGCUGCUUGUUUUUCUAACUUAUUCUAUUUUUUUACGUCCAUGUUGGAAAGGUUUCAAUGUAUGGAAUUAUGUUGGAAGCUUGUAAAGUUUCAUUUAAAACAUGAGCUGUGAACCACAUUUGUUGGUGUAACUAGGCAUUUUAAUUAUUUUUCGUUUAUUUAUAAAAAAAGUGUUGAAAAUACUAAUUUAACUUGAAUAAACUGUACUGGUUAGUAUGCUGUAAAUAGCACUAUUUUAGGAUAGAAUAUUUCAUUCUUUCCUUUUUUUUAUGUACUGUGUAAUUAUUAGGACAGAUUUUUAUUUCAUUUUCUCUUAUUGUAAUUAUGUUUCACGUACAAGCCUAAUAGCCUAUAAAUGUUAGAGCUUGUAAAUUAUAAAUUUUCAUUUAAUAAGAUGAUUGAUUAUUCAGAUGUUUUAAGUUGGUUCCAGAGCUCCCGACCCAGGAGAUUUUGCUUCUGCUUCAAAACCCUAGCUGUCUUCAUUGCUGCAUCAGCCUUCAUAUCUAAGCCUUAGUUGCCUUCAUUGAGUCCAUUUCUAGAUCAGAUCGUCAACCCCGAUGUCAGUUUCACCAGACCUGAAAGUGUCUUCACCAAAAACCAUCCCAUAUACCUGCACCUGUGUAAUUUGUUCACGUCGCAUGUAACCCAUGGGUCACCAUGCCGACUUUUGUUUUCGAUGCCGUUUCCACAUACUUGGUUGCCUAAUUUCCCUGGUCCUUUAACAAGUAUCAUAUUACAAGUUUUGAACCCUAAUGUUCUCUUCGUACUGCAUGGUGUAUAUUGCCCUGGCGGGCUUAACUAUCUUCAGUGGGCCUAGUUUGUCCACACCACACUUGGAAGGGAAAACACUAACAGAGAUUGACUUGUGUAUGGAGAUUGGGAUGAAGAAGAAUCUCUUAUAAUUGUUACAACAGUUCGACCUUAAAGUUGCAUUUUUGCAUGGAGACUUAGAGGAAGAAAUAUAUUGGAAUAAUAUUCCAUGCUUGGUUUGUGAGGUUGACUGAAGCUACACAUGCAGAAUCAAGGUGGCCGUAUUCUCUUGAUAAAACAUGCCCACAAAGGCAAACUCACACUUCUUCUCAUCUAUGUGUCUAUGUAGAUCAUAUGACCAUUGUAGGUGAUGAUGAGGUUGAAAAACAAAUUCUUAGGGAGAAGUUAGCACCUCAGUUUGAUUUGAAGAAGCUAAAAUACAUCUCUGUGAUAGAGGUUGUGUAUCCUUAAUAAAAUAUAUUUAUCUCAAAGGUGAUGUGUCAUUGAUCUUGGUGAGAGCCCAAAGUGAAGGAUUAGUACAAAAGACCUAUGGGAAAAAUCGUUGGUCCUCGUUAAAGACAUUUACGACUAGAAUCUUUUAGUACUUGAAAGCAAAUUCAAGAAGAGGUCCACUAUUCCAGAAAGAGGGGAAAUCAUCUAUGGAUGGGUUUACAUAUGCAGACUAUUUGGGGUCUAUUGUUGAUAGGUUAUCCACCAUGGGGUACUAUAUGUUUUUGAGUGGAAAUUUAGUGACAUGGAGAAGUAAGCAGCAAAAUAUAGUUGCCAGAUCGAGUGGAGAAGCAGAACUUCGAGCUGGCUCAAGGGUUUUGUGAGCUAUGGAUGAAGAUCUUCAUCUUACUUGACAGCCUAGUAUAAAGUAUGAAGGAAGUUUUGUGAUAAUAAUUCUGCCAUUAGCAUUGCACACAGCCCGAUAUAGCAUAACAGGACAGAACAUAUUGAGGUAGACUGACAUUACACUAAAGAGAAAUUGGGCACUGGCCUGAUAACUGCUUAUGUAAUUUUCAGGACACCAGCUGACAGAUGUUCUGGCUAAGGACUUGUAAACAGAGAAAGUUUCAACUACUCAUAAGAUGGAAAUUAUAGAUAUCCGUUGACCAGCUUGAGGGGAAUAAACUUUGUUUAGGAUAAAACAUUUCAUUCUUUCCUUUUUUCUUAUGUAAACAUCACCAAAUAUCACCGAUGUACUAUGUAAUCAUUUCAACAUAAUUUUAUCCCCCCCCCCCUUCUGGUUUUCAUUAAUUAGGUUUCAAGUACUAGCCUAUGAAUAUGAAUAUUUUGUAAAUUGUAAAUUAUCACUUAAUAAAUUUAUUGAUUAUUCAGA